rnacentral:rRNA from 1 species
AGUGAACGCUGGCGGUAGGCCUAACACAUGCAAGUCGAACGGCAGCACAGUAAGAGCUUGCUCUUACGGGUGGCGAGUGGCGGACGGGUGAGGAAUACAUCGGAAUCUACUUUUUCGUGGGGGAUAACGUAGGGAAACUUACGCUAAUAUCGCAUACGCCCUACGGGUGAAAGCAGGGGAUCUUCGGACCUUGCGCGAUUGAAUGAGCUGAUGUCGGAUUAGCUAGUUGGCGGGGUAAAGGCCCACCAAGGCGACGAUCCGUAGCUGGUCUGAGAGGAUGAUCAGCCACACUGGAACUGAGACACGGUCCAGACUCCUACGGGAGGCAGCAGUGGGGAAUAUUGGACAAUGGGCGCAAGCCUGAUCCAGCCAUACCGCGUGGGUGAAGAAGGCCUUCGGGUUGUAAAGCCCUUUUGUUGGGAAAGAAAAGCAGCAGGUUAAUACCCCGCUGUUCUGACGGUACCCAAAGAAUAAGCACCGGCUAACUUCGUG